AGUUUGAUCAUGGCUCAGAUUGAACGCUGGCGGAAUGCUUUACACAUGCAAAUCGAGCGGCAGCGCGGGGCAACCUGGCGGCGAGCGGCGAACGGGUGAGUAACAUAUCGGAACGUAUCCUGUAAUGGGGGAUAACCACUCGAAAGAGUGGCUAAUACCGCAUACGAUCAAGAGAUGAAAGUGGGGGACCGCAAGGCCUCACGUUAUAGGAGCGGCCGAUAUCUGAUUAGCUAGUUGGGGGGGUAAAAGCCCACCAAGGCGAUGAUCAGUAGCUGGUCUGAGAGGACGACCAGCCACACUGGGACUGAGACACGGCCCAGACUCCUACGGGAGGCAGCAGUGGGGAAUUUUGGACAAUGGGGGAAACCCUGAUCCAGCCAUUCCGCGUGAGUGAAGAAGGCCUUCGGGUUGUAAAGCUCUUUCGGCAGGGAAGAAACGGUCCAGGCUAAUACUCUGGACUAAUGACGGUACCUGAAGAAGAAGCACCGGCUAACUACGUGCCAGCAGCCGCGGUAAUACGUAGGGUGCGAGCGUUAAUCGGAAUUACUGGGCGUAAAGCGUGCGCAGGCGGUUUUGUACGUUCGAUGUGAAAGCCCCGGGCUUAACCUGGGAACUGCGUUGAAAACGGCAAGACUAGAGUGUGUCAGAGGGGGGUAGAAUUCCACGUGUAGCAGUGAAAUGCGUAGAGAUGUGGAGGAAUACCGAUGGCGAAGGCAGCCCCCUGGGAUAACAUUGACGCUGAGGCACGAAAGCGUGGGGAGCAAAC
rnacentral:rRNA from 1 species